rnacentral:misc_RNA from 1 species
GCACGCGGGAGGUUGACAAUUCAAAUCCGUUAACAGGACCUGGCUUCUCACGAACUGUCUGUUGUAAUCAACCUGAAGUCCAUGAGAAAAAGCCAUUGAAAUACUGCUCGAAUUACAUAUCCACGACCAAAUAUAAUGUUCUUUCUUUCUUGCCUAAGGCUCUCUUUGAGCAAUUCCGGAGGGUUGCCAAUUUGUACUUCCUUUUGGCUGCAUUGUUAUCGCUCACACCAGUUGCCCCAUUUUCUGCCAUGAGCAUGAUUGCUCCUUUGGUAUUUGUUGUUGGGCUCAGUAUGGCUAAAGAAGCUCUUGAGGACUGGCGUCGAUUUGUG